rnacentral:rRNA from 1 species
UACGGAGGGUGCGAGCGUUGUCCGGAAUCACUGGGCGUAAAGGGCGCGUAGGCGGCCCUGGCAGUCGGUGGUGAAAGCCCGCGGCUCAACUGCGGGUCUGCCACCGAUACUCCAGGGCUCGAGUUUGGUAGAGGCAGAUGGAAUUCCGGGUGUAGCGGUGAAAUGCGUAGAUAUCGUCUGGAACGCCAAAGGUGAAAACAGACUGCUGGGACUGUGCUGACGCUGAGACACGAAAGCCAGGGGAGCGAACGGG